GAUGAAGAACGUAGCGAAAUGCGAUAAGUAAUGUGAAUUGCAGAAUUCAGUGAAUCAUCGAAUCUUUGAACGCACAUUGCGCCCCCUGGUAUUCCGGGGGGCAUGCCUGUCCGAGCGUCAUUGCUGCCCUCAAGCACGGCUUGUGUGUUGGGCCUCCGUCCUCCUCCCGGGGGACGGGCCCGAAAGGCAGCGGCGGCACCGCGUCCGGUCCUCGAGCGUAUGGGGCUUCGUCACCCGCUCUUGUAGGCCCGGCCGGCGCUUGCCGACACAUCAAUCUUUUUUCCAGGUUGAACUCGGAUCAGGUAGGGAUACCCGCUGAACUUAAGCAUAUCAAUAAGCGGAGGA
rnacentral:misc_RNA from 1 species